CUUUAAAAAUAAAUAAAUAAAUAAAUAAAUAAAUAAAUAAAUAAAUAAAUAAAAAAACAAAGGCAAGUGUGAAAGCCAGAACCUUUUCCUGGAACCUACAUCACUCCAGCUACCACCAUUUCAUUUUACUCACAUUCAGAGAGUUUUCUAGACAUGCUCCCUUCACAUCAGUACUUCCCAAUUACUUUGUCAUUUGCUGAAGUCUGCUUCUACCCCUGCUACCAGAACUGCUCUUACUAUACUCCUUAGGACUCUUCUCAUCCUUGGAUAAAGUCAUAGGAAAGUGGAACAGUCCUUAUUUUAUGGAGGACAUGGGUUUCUGUGGUUCUGUUUCUUGUCUUAAUCCAGGGUCCAGGCAGUUGGCGGCUUCUCCCUGGAUUAUGCCUUGAGACAUACAACUCUCAUCCCAGAGGGAAAAAGAACACUCGCCAGAAGAAAGUCACCACAAAGCAGAUGACAAUUUUGACAAAAUAUUUUGCAACAACAACAAUAAUGACUCCCUCUAUGGCUUACUGCAUUAGUGAUGGUAUACACUUCAAGCAGUGGACAUAGCGGAGAAUCGAGAGCCUGACUUGCAUGGUGGAAAAUACAACAUUCAAAACAACCAGUUUAACAUGUUGUUUUAAAAGUGUAUUGAGCUGACUACAUCCCUGAAGAGACCGUUCAUGUUGAAACUGGUGAUGGAGGGGAUGAGAAAACCAACUCAUUCAAAAGCAGUCUGUUCAGUGGUUAGCAAUAAAUCUAUUCAAUAUGGCUGUGAAAUUUGUUGGCAUGAUCACGGAAACUCCUUAUUGUUUCCAUGAGACAACACUGAGAGAAAAAGGACAAACUUGCUGAAGUAGGGAGAGAGUCUUAUUACUUCCAUGCUAUCAUCACCAGAGGGAAUUGGAAAAACAUUAACUGGGAGUUUCCCAUUAUGCUGCUUGUUGGAAAUCAUCAUGUGUACUAACACAUUAUUGCUGUUCGUAUUAACACACAGACUUAUGGCUAGAAACGGUGGGAUUCAAAGAACCAGGUAGUCUGGAAGGAUGUAGAACUUGGCUAACAAUGCCACCUCCUCCGGAUGCAUGGAGGAAACCUAUUUGCCA